AAUAUUGAUAUCCGUCUUAUGAUUAAAAAUCUAAUAUCACUAUCUCCCUGUAUCCAUCUCAGAUUGGAUAGACAAGAGAGUUUGGAUCUGAUCGGAUACAUGUAAAUAUUAUAAAAUAAUUAUAAUUUUAAAAAAAAUAUUAAAAUUAUAUUGAAUUGAGAUCAGGAAAAGACAUAUCAUUAUCCAUAUCCAAUCCGAAUCCAUUUCGGAUAUUUUUUUUCUAAAACCCAUAUCCAUCUCAUAUUCUAAUUGGAUUAAAUAAAAUCUGUUCUAUUCGGAGUGGACCA
rnacentral:lncRNA from 1 species